UAUUACCUCGGCACCUCGAGACGAGUAUCUUAGUGUUCAUAUCCGGACAGUCGGAGAUUGGACUCAGGAACUGAAACGGGUUUUCACCAAAGUUAACGACUCGCCUUUCGUCAUUGGCCGAGCUAGAUUCGGUGGCCCUGGAUAUAUUGAUCACAACUGCCAACCUAAGUUACUCGUCGCUGGUCCGUACGGAGCUCCGGCACAAGACUACCGGAAUUACGAUGUUCUCCUCCUCGUGGACUAGGAAUCGGAGCUACUCCUUUCAUAAGCAUCCUUAGAGAUCUCUUAAACAACUCAAGACCAGAAGACCAAAUGGAUUCAACAACAGAAAUGAGUAGUUCAAAUGAUAGCUGGA